UCAACACACAGAAGUACAUUAAUUCUACGUUGAUUUAAAAAAAAAGUGCUGGUAUCGGUAUCUGUAUCGACCGAUACUCAAUUUUUAGUAUCGGAUCGGUUCUAAAAAAAAAUUGUAUCAGUGCAUCCCAGUUGCAA